rnacentral:ncRNA from 1 species
GGAGCAUGUGGUUUAAUUCGAAGCAACGCGAAGAACCUUACCAGGGCUUGACAUCCCGCUGCCGGGUCCAGAGAUGGGCCUUUCCCGCGAGGGACGGCGGAGACAGGUGGUGCAUGGUUGUCGUCAGCUCGUGUCGUGAGAUGUUGGGUUAAGUCCCGCAACGAGCGCAACCCCUGCCCUUAGUUGCCAGCUGGUGAGGCCGGGCACUCUAAGGGGACUGCCGCCGACGAGGCGGAGGAAGGUGGGGAUGACGUCAAAUCAUCAUGCCCCUUAUGCCCUGGGCUACACACGUGCUACAAUGGCCGGUACAGCGGGAAGCGAAGCCGCGAGGCGGAGCGGAUCCCUGAAAGCCGGUCUCAGUUCGGAUUGCAGGCUGCAACUCGCCUGCAUGAAGGCGGAAUCGCUAGUAAUCGCGGAUCAGCAUGCCGCGGUGAAUGCGUUCCCGGGCCUUGUACACACCGCCCGUCACGCCAUGGGAGUCGGGGGCGCCCGAAGGCGCGGGCAGCGCUGAAGGCGAACCUGGCGACUGGGGUGAAGUCGUAACAAGGUAUCCGUACCGGAAGGUGCGGAUGGAUCACCUCCUUU